AGAGUUUGAUCCUGGCUCAGGACGAACGCUGGCGGCGCGCCUAACACAUGCAAGUCGAACGAGCGAGAGAGAGCUUGCUUUCUCGAGCGAGUGGCGAACGGGUGAGUAACGCGUGAGGAACCUGCCUCAAAGAGGGGGACAACAGUUGGAAACGACUGCUAAUACCGCAUAAGCCCACAGGUCGGCAUCGACCAGAGGGAAAAGGAGUGAUCCGCUUUGAGAUGGCCUCGCGUCCGAUUAGCUAGUUGGUGAGGUAACGGCCCACCAAGGCGACGAUCGGUAGCCGGACUGAGAGGUUGAACGGCCACAUUGGGACUGAGACACGGCCCAGACUCCUACGGGAGGCAGCAGUGGGGAAUAUUGCACAAUGGGGGAAACCCUGAUGCAGCGACGCCGCGUGGAGGAAGAAGGUCUUCGGAUUGUAAACUCCUGUUGUUGAGGAAGAUAAUGACGGUACUCAACAAGGAAGUGACGGCUAACUACGUGCCAGCAGCCGCGGUAAAACGUAGGUCACAAGCGUUGUCCGGAAUUACUGGGUGUAAAGGGAGCGCAGGCGGGAAGACAAGUUGGAAGUGAAAUCCAUGGGCUCAACCCAUGAACUGCUUUCAAAACUGUUUUUCUUGAGUAGUGCAGAGGUAGGCGGAAUUCCCGGUGUAGCGGUGGAAUGCGUAGAUAUCGGGAGGAACACCAGUGGCGAAGGCGGCCUACUGGGCACCAACUGACGCUGAGGCUCGAAAGUGUGGGUAGCAAACAGGAUUAGAUACCCUGGUAGUCCACACUGUAAACGAUGAUUACUAGGUGUUGGAGGAUUGACCCCUUCAGUGCCGCAGUUAACACAAUAAGUAAUCCACCUGGGGAGUACGACCGCAAGGUUGAAACUCAAAGGAAUUGACGGGGGCCCGCAC
rnacentral:rRNA from 1 species